rnacentral:rRNA from 1 species
GAUGGAGCACGCCGCGUGUGUGAUGAAGGCUUUCGGGUCGUAAAGCACUGUUGUAUGGGAAGAACAGCUAGAAUAGGAAAUGAUUUUAGUUUGACGGUACCAUACCAGAAAGGGACGGCUAAAUACGUGCCAGCAGCCGCGGUAAUACGUAUGUCCCGAGCGUUAUCCGGAUUUAUUGGGCGUAAAGCGAGCGCAGACGGUUUAUUAAGUCUGAUGUGAAAGCCCGGAGCUCAACUCCGGAAUGGCAUUGGAAACUGGUUAACUUGAGUGCAGUAGAGGUAAGUGGAACUCCAUGUGUAGCGGUGGAAUGCGUAGAUAUAUGGAAGAACACCAGUGGCGAAGGCGGCUUACUGGACUGCAACUGACGUUGAGGCUCGAAAGUGUGGGUAGCAAACAGGAUUAGAUACCCUGGUAGUCCACACCGUAAACGAUGAACACUAGGUGUUAGGAGGUUUCCGCCUCUUAGUGCCGAAGCUAACGCAUUAAGUGUUCCGCCUGGGGAGUACGACCGCAAGGUUGAAACUCAAAGGAAUUGACGGGGACCCGCACAAGCGGUGGAGCAUGUGGUUUAAUUCGAAGCAACGCGAAGAACCUUACCAGGUCUUGACAUCCUUUGAAGCUUUUAGAGAUAGAAGUGUUCUCUUCGGAGACAAAGUGACAGGUGGUGCAUGGUCGUCGUCAGCUCGUGUCGUGAGAUGUUGGGUUAAGUCCCGCAACGAGCGCAACCCUUAUUGUUAGUUGCCAGCAUUCAGAUGGGCACUCUAGCGAGACUGCCGGUGACAAACCGGAGGAAGGCGGGGACGACGUCAGAUCAUCAUGCCCCUUAUGACCUGGGCUACACACGUGCUACAAUGGCGUAUACAACGAGUUGCCAACCCGCGAGGGUGAGCUAAUCUCUUAAAGUACGUCUCAGUUCGGAUUGUAGUCUGCAACUCGACUACAUGAAGUCGGGAAUCGCUAGUAAUCGCGGAUCAGCACGCCGCGGC